UCAACUCAUGUACCUCAACUUGAGUUGACCAACAAUUAAAGAAGACGACCUGCUCCAACUGCUGAUCUACUGGUUGUUACAGAUUGUGGAAAAGCAUCACCAGCAGCACUGGACCAAUCAGGAAAGAGAAGACACAGAGGACUGAAGGGACUCAGAAAAUCCUGCUGGAAAUCCCAAGAUGAAGUUUCCUGAUGCAACAGGGGGACACCUGAGGACACAGAAUAAAGAAGGACCAUGUGAAGCAGGUCCUUCAAUAACAAACCAAGCAUGAGUUGACCAACACUUACAGCAGGUUACUUUGUCCAUCUACUGAUCUACUGGUUGUAACAGAUGAUGGUGAAGGUUGAGGAGAUAAUGACUUGAUCAGAAACUGUGGACGACAACUGCAAACGCUCAGCAAACAGCAAAACGAGCUGCAAACAGACUCAUGAAGAGGACGGUCAGAGUCGUCCAUAGCUUUCUUGACUCUUCUGAAGAGUCUUUCUUUGCGUCAUCUCCAGAGGUUCCACAGUCAUCUCCAGAACAGAACCAGAACCAAUCCAGCCUUCUUUAUCAGAUUGUUGAGCCUUUUGAGGUUCCUGGCUCUGAUGCUGCUGCACCAACAGAUGAUAGCAGAAGAGAUGACACUCUCAGCAGCAGACUUAAAGAUCUGCAGCAACUUGCUGCAAACCUUGAAGGAUCUUAGCUUCCUGGAGAAGUGCAGUCUGCUCUGUCUCUUUUUGUAGACGGCUUGUCCACGUGGUUCCUGCCUUCUGUUGUGUCUCCAGUCCAGUCUGUGUUCCAGAUGAACACCGAGUCAAGAUUAGAUGAUUGUUCCCUCACCAGGCCACAAAGUGAUCCACCAGAUCUCUGUACUCAGCCUCUUGUCUUCCUCUGAUACACAACAACUGCAGAGUCGUCUGAGUAUUUCUGUAGAUGACAGAAGUCGGACUUGUGCUGGAAGUCUGAACAAUAGAGGGUGAAAAUGAACGGUGAGAGUACAGUGCCCUGUGGUGUUCCCAUGUUGUUGAGCACCUGGUUAGACUCACAGUCCUUCAGUCUCACUAACUGUGGUCUGUUUGUCAGGUAGUCACAGAUGCAGGUGAUUGUUGAGGCCUCCACCUGUGUCUUCUGGAGUUUCUAACAGAGCAGAUCAGGCUGAUUUGUGUUCAAUGCACCUGGGAACCAAAGACCCUGAUCCUCACUGUGCUGCCUGCUUUGUCCAGAUGACAGUGGGUUUGUUGAAGCAGGUGUCUGAUCAACUCCAACUCCACGGCGAUAAGCAAACUGCAGGGGGUCCUGAUAU